UUUAUGGAGAGUUUGAUCCUGGCUCAGGAUGAACGCUGGCGGCGUGCCUAAUACAUGCAAGUCGAGCGAACAGAUGAGGAGCUUGCUCCUUUGACGUUAGCGGCGGACGGGUGAGUAACACGUGGGUAACCUACCUAUAAGACUGGAAUAACUCCGGGAAACCGGGGCUAAUGCCGGAUAACAUGUUGAACCGCAUGGUUCAACAGUGAAAGACGGUCUUGCUGUCACUUAUAGAUGGACCCGCGCCGUAUUAGCUAGUUGGUAAGGUAACGGCUUACCAAGGCGACGAUACGUAGCCGACCUGAGAGGGUGAUCGGCCACACUGGAACUGAGACACGGUCCAGACUCCUACGGGAGGCAGCAGUAGGGAAUCUUCCGCAAUGGGCGAAAGCCUGACGGAGCAACGCCGCGU
rnacentral:rRNA from 1 species